rnacentral:rRNA from 1 species
UGGGGAAUUUUGGACAAUGGGCGCAAGCCUGAUCCAGCAAUGCCGCGUGCAGGAUGAAGGCCUUCGGGUUGUAAACUGCUUUUGUACGGAACGAAACGGCUCUGUCUAAUACAUGGGGCUAAUGACGGUACCGUAAGAAUAAGCACCGGCUAACUACGUGCCAGCAGCCGCGGUAAUACGUAGGGUGCGAGCGUUAAUCGGAAUUACUGGGCGUAAAGCGUGCGCAGGCGGUUAUGUAAGACAGAUGUGAAAUCCCCGGGCUCAACCUGGGAACUGCGUUUGUGACUGCAUAACUAGAGUACGGCAGAGGGAGGUGGAAUUCCGCGUGUAGCAGUGAAAUGCGUAGAGACGCGGAGGAACACCGAUGGCGAAGGCAAUCCCCUGGGCCUGUACUGACGCUCAUGCACGAAAGCGUGGGGAGCAAACA